GCACAAAGCUGAUAAUAAUUUAACCUAAUAAUUUUCUUGAUAAAACCUAGCACUCUUUCGUCACUAGCCCAAAUCUGAGAUCCAAGCAUGGAUUUUCUUCGAAGUUACAAAGACGAUGACGAAUUCGAUGAACAUGAAGCCCAAAACCCUAAUUCCUCACCUGAUUCAUCUCCUCCGCGCCUCCUUCCAUCCAAAUCCGCCGCCCCGAGAGUCGACGAUACGAUGCUAGCCCUAACGGUGGCGCAGGCCAACCAGACCCUCUCUAAGCCCAUUGAUCCCGUGCACCACGCCGUCGCAUUUAACCCUACCUACGACCAGCUCUGGGCUCCAAUCUACGGCCCUGCACAUCCCUACGCCAAGGACGGUAUCGCUCAGGGCAUGCGCAACCACAAGCUAGGCUUCGUUGAAGACGCCGCCAUCGACUCGUUCGUUUUCGAUGAGCAAUACAACACCUUCCACAAGUAUGGUUACGCCGCCGACCCUUCGGCUUCCGAAGGUAACAACUAUGUUGGCGAUUUGGAUGCUUUACAGAAAAAUAAUGGCAUAUCGGUUUAUAAUAUACCGCAGCAUGAGCAAAAGAGGCAAAAAAUUGAGAAGAAGAAGGAAACCGAGGAGGAUGAGGGUGGGAAUGUGGAUACGGAUGUAGAUAAGGCGGAGAUUGAUAAUCCGGCGACCGAUGCCUGGUUGAUGAAGAAUAAAAAGAGCCCAUGGGCAGGCAAGAAGGAGGGUUUGCAAACGGAAUUGACAGAAGAGCAGAAGAAAUACGCAGAGGAGUACGCUAAGAAGAAAGAAGAGAAAGGAGCUGGAGGUGAAAAAGGAGAGGUUGUUGCUGAUAAGAGCACUUUUCACGGCAAGGAAGAGAGGGAUUAUCAAGGAAGAUCCUGGAUUGCGGCCCCCAAGGAUGCUAAAGCGACUAAUGAUCAUUGUUAUAUACCAAAGAGACUUGUGCAUACAUGGAGUGGGCAUACAAAGGGAGUUUCUGCAAUAAGGUUUUUCCCCAAAUACGGCCAUUUGAUUCUUUCUGCAGGGAUGGAUACCAAGGUGAAGAUAUGGGAUGUGUUCAAUUCGGGCAAGUGUAUGAGAACUUACAUGGGUCAUUCAAAGGCUGUUAGGGAUAUUUCGUUUUGUAAUGAUGGGACUAAGUUUUUGACUGCUGGAUAUGAUAAGAAUAUUAAGUACUGGGAUACAGAGACUGGGCAGGUUAUCUCGACUUUUUCAACGGGGAAGAUCCCUUAUGUUGUUAAGCUCAACCCUGAUGAUGAUAAGCAGAAUAUACUGUUGGCGGGUAUGAGUGACAAGAAAAUUGUGCAGUGGGAUAUAAAUACAGGGCAGAUCACUCAGGAGUACGAUCAACAUUUGGGGGCAGUAAAUACCAUUACUUUUGUGGAUAAUAAUAGAAGAUUUGUUACCUCAAGUGAUGAUAAAUCACUUCGUGUAUGGGAAUUUGGGAUUCCUGUUGUUAUUAAGUAUAUAAGUGAACCGCACAUGCAUUCUAUGCCAUCAAUUGCUGUUCAUCCCAACACAAACUGGUUUGCAGCACAGAGUUUGGAUAACCAGAUUCUUAU
rnacentral:misc_RNA from 1 species